AAAAGAUUAGUUAAUAUAUAACAUUAGCUUGUCAUGCUAAAAUAAUUAAUUAUAAUAUUUUUUA
rnacentral:tRNA from 1 species